GGUGAACGCUGGCGGCGUGCCUAAUACAUGCAAGUCGAGCGAACAGACGAGGAGCUUGCUCCUCUGACGUUAGCGGCGGACGGGUGAGUAACACGUGGAUAACCUACCUAUAAGACUGGGAUAACUUCGGGAAACCGGAGCUAAUACCGGAUAAUAUAUUGAACCGCAUGGUUCAAUAGUGAAAGACGGUUUUGCUGUCACUUAUAGAUGGAUCCGCGCCGCAUUAGCUAGUUGGUAAGGUAACGGCUUACCAAGGCAACGAUGCGUAGCCGACCUGAGAGGGUGAUCGGCCACACUGGAACUGAGACACGGUCCAGACUCCGACGGGAGGCAGCAGGAGGGAAUCUUCCGCAAUGGGCGAAAGCCUGACGGAGCAACGCCGCGUGAGUGAUGAAGGUCUUCGGAUCGUAAAACUCUGUUAUUAGGGAAGAACAAAUGUGUAAGUAACUAUGCACGUCUUGACGGUACCUAAUCAGAAAGCCACGGCUAACUACGUG
rnacentral:rRNA from 1 species